UACGUAGGGUGCAAGCGUUAAUCGGAAUUACUGGGCGUAAAGCGUGCGUAGGCGGUUGUGCAAGUCAGAUGUGAAAUCCCCGGGCUCAACCUGGGAAUUGCGAUGAAGACUGCAAGGCUAGAAUCUGGCAGAGGGGGGUAGAAUUCCACGUGUAGCAGUGAAAUGCGUAGAGAUGUGGAGGAACACCGAUGGCGAAGGCAGCCCCCUGGGUCAAGAUUGACGCUCAUGCACGAAAGCGUGGGGAGCAAACAGG
rnacentral:rRNA from 1 species